rnacentral:rRNA from 1 species
AUUGAACGCUGGCGGCAGGCCUAACACAUGCAAGUCGAGCGGAGCGGCGGACGGGCGAGUAAUGCCUAGGUAUCUGCCUGGUCGUGGGGGAUAACGUCCGGAAACGGGCGCUAAUACCGCAUACUCUCAGAUGAGCCUACGUCGGAGUAGCUAGUGGGUGGGGUAAAGGCCUACCAAGGCGACCAUCCGUAACUGGCCUGAGAGGAUGAUCAGUCACACUGGAACUGAGACACGGGCCAGACUCCUACGGGAGGGAGCAGUGGGGAAUAUUGGACAAUGGGCGAAAGCCUGAUCCAGCCAUGCGGCGUGUGUGAAGAAGGUCUUCGGAUUGUAUAGCACUUUAAGUUGGGAGGCGUUACCAACAGAAUAAGCACCGGCUAACUUCGUGCCAGCAGCCGCGGUAAUAC